AUUGAACGCUGGCGGCAUGCUUUACACAUGCAAGUCGAACGGGAACAGGCCUUCGGGUGCUGACGAGUGGCGAACGGGUGUGUAAUGCAUCGGAACGUACCCAGAGGUGGGGGAUAAUGCAGCGAAAGCUGUGUUAAUACCGCAUGUGAUCUGAGGUUGAAAGCGGGGGACCGAGCAGCAAUGUUUGGCCUCGCGCCUUUGGAGCGGCCGAUGUCGGAUUAGCUAGUUGGUGGGGUAAAGGCCUACCAAGGCGACGCUCCGUAGCUGCUCUGAGAGGACGAACAGCCAGACUGGGACUGAGACACGGCCGAGACACCUACGGGGGGCAGCAGUGGGGAAUUUUGGACGAUGGGCGAAAGCCUGAUCCAGCAAUGCCGCGUGCGGGAAGAAGGCCUUCGGGUUGUAGACCGCUUUUGGCAGGAACGAAACGGUGUCCGCUAAUAACGGGCGCUAAUGACGGUACCUGCAGAAUAAGCACCGGCUAACUACGUG
rnacentral:rRNA from 1 species